rnacentral:rRNA from 1 species
GAUUUACAUUUGAGUGAGUGGCGAACUGGUGAGUAACACGUGGGAAACCUGCCCAGAAGCGGGGGAUAACACCUGGAAACAGAUGCUAAUACCGCAUAACAACUUGGACCGCAUGGUCCGAGCUUGAAAGAUGGCUUCGGCUAUCACUUUUGGAUGGUCCCGCGGCGUAUUAGCUAGAUGGUGGGGUAACGGCUCACCAUGGCAAUGAUACGUAGCCGACCUGAGAGGGUAAUCGGCCACAUUGGGACUGAGACACGGCCCAAACUCCUACGGGAGGCAGCAGUAGGGAAUCUUCCACAAUGGACGAAAGUCUGAUGGAGCAACGCCGCGUGAGUGAAGAAGGGUUUCGGCUCGUAAAACUCUGUUGUUAAAGAAGAACAUAUCUGAGAGUAACUGUUCAGGUAUUGACGGUAUUUAACCAGAAAGCCACGGCUAACUACGUGCCAGCAGCCGCGGUAAUACGUAGGUGGCAAGCGUUGUCCGGAUUUAUUGGGCGUAAAGCGAGCGCAGGCGGUUUUUUAAGUCUGAUGUGAAAGCCUUCGGCUCAACCGAAGAAGUGCAUCGGAAACUGGGAAACUUGAGUGCAGAAGAGGACAGUGGAACUCCAUGUGUAGCGGUGAAAUGCGUAGAUAUAUGGAAGAACACCAGUGGCGAAGGCGGCUGUCUGGUCUGUAACUGACGCUGAGGCUCGAAAGUAUGGGUAGCAAACAGGAUUAGAUACCCUGGUAGUCCAUACCGUAAACGAUGAAUGCUAAGUGUUGGAGGGUUUCCGCCCUUCAGUGCUGCAGCUAACGCAUUAAGCAUUCCGCCUGGGGAGUACGGCCGCAAGGCUGAAACUCAAAGGAAUUGACGGGGGCCCGCACAAGCGGUGGAGCAUGUGGUUUAAUUCGAAGCUACGCGAAGAACCUUACCAGGUCUUGACAUACUAUGCAAAUCUAAGAGAUUAGACGUUCCCUUCGGGGACAUGGAUACAGGUGGUGCAUGGUUGUCGUCAGCUCGUGUCGUGAGAUGUUGGGUUAAGUCCCGCAACGAGCGCAACCCUUAUUAUCAGUUGCCAGCAUUAAGUUGGGCACUCUGGUGAGACUGCCGGUGACAAACCGGAGGAAGGUGGGGAUGACGUCAAAUCAUCAUGCCCCUUAUGACCUGGGCUACACACGUGCUACAAUGGAUGGUACAACGAGUUGCGAACUCGCGAGAGUAAGCUAAUCUCUUAAAGCCAUUCUCAGUUCGGAUUGUAGGCUGCAACUCGCCUACAUGAAGUCGGAAUCGCUAGUAAUCGCGGAUCAGCAUGCCGCGGUGAAUACGUUCCCGGGCCUUGUACACACCGCCCGUCACACCAUGAGAGUUUGU